rnacentral:lncRNA from 1 species
UGGGGCCCUUUAUAACUUGCUGUUCGGUGUGAGUCAAUGCUCAGUAUUGAAGGCAGUACUUUGAUCUAUGAUUUUUAACUUUUUAAACAUUGUGACUUGGAUGGAUAGUUGUCUCAUUGGCGCUCAUACCACAUCUUCUUAAAAAAUAACAUCUUUUUGCAUACUUUCUUUUUUAAUUUCUUGUUUUUGAUGCAAUCCAAC